UGGGCACCUUUCUGACAAUUUUAUUUUAAAGUGGGAGUCGUUCUACCGAGACCGUAUCAUAAAAUUAGGGUUGAGCGGGUAUCCAGCGGUAAAAGAAUCAAUUCAACAGUUUGAGGAAGGUGACAACAGAGACCUGUGUGGUUUAACUGCACUGUUGCUGAUGUUACAUAAGCCACUGACAAAGACAAAGAACCCCACCUCGAGUUCAAGGGCAUCGAGUUUGGAGCACUUCAUCCAGUACAGACCUAUUGGGACAGAUGUUCAAGCGGCAGCAGCUGGGAAGUCUGCUGAGUUUCGGCAGCCCUAUAUACUAGCCCUUGGACACAGACGCAAGCCACUACGAUCCUUUUUUGAUUGCGGACAAGGUAGUGAUUGAAGCGGGACAGAAUGUGGUGGAAGCCACUGACAGGCUUUUUAAGUCUCAUGUAUUUGGAGUCCAUUUUGCCCAAGUAAUUCAACAUUUCUAGGAGUUCAUGGCAUCUGAAAUGUACAGGGUCAUGCAGGCAUCUGAUACCAAAGCCUCUGUAAGAAGUAUGGCGUUAUCGAUCCGAAAUUUAAAGUUAACCGAGCAGUAGCUUGGACAAGAAAACUAAGCGGCUUUCGGGGACAGAACAGAGGAUUUGUUAGACCGGGACAGGCCUCUCACUCACCUUACCUUUGUAAUUCAUAAGCACUUUUGCUGUCUAUACGAACAUGACAGAGAAUAGUUUAUCUAAGGCUGUUAUUUCGGAUUUUGUACAUAAAUAUGAAAAUGAUAAAAUAUGAAAAAAAGUGAUGUUUUUGUACAGAUUCCAAAUGGUAUAAAUAUACGCUGAGUGAGAAAAUGUUGUUCAUAUAGGUAGUCUUGUAUGCAGACCAUUUAUGAAAGAAGUUCUAAUUUACAUAUUUUAAUUAUGCAGAGCAAAGAAGUAGUACAAGGUUGUUAUUUCAAGCUU